UGAAAUUGAAAAAAAAAAUAUAUUCUAUUGUUGACUCAAAUAACAAAGUCAUUUUUCAGUUAAUUCUCUUCUUCUUUAAUAUCAAAAAAAUAUAAUCAAAAGUCAUCUUUCAAAAUGCAUGCUUGAGCAUAAUUAAUAAACAUACGGAAUGUUUCAAGGAAAAAACAAGUCAACAAAAGCUUAUCAUAGAAUAAAAUAUAUUUAUAAUUAAACAAAUCAACAAGAGCUAAUCUUCUAUUUUUCUCAUUUGACAUAACCUUAGCACUACAAAAUAUUUUAGAUCUGUCAGAAAGGUCACUGAUACACAAGUAAACAAGUUAGGCGUGUUUAUGUCUCUAUCCUUAAAACUAAGCAACAGAUAAAGAGCAAAUAGAAGCCAAGAAACAUGGCAAUUCAUCAAUUAAUUUUAUUCUCAGGAAGAAAAAAAAUUAUCAAUUACUAUGUAGAUAAUUAGCAAUAAAUAAUAAUAAUAAUGAAUUGAAGAAAACAAAAAGGAAGUGGGUGUUCUUUGAGAUGGCAGUAGAAACAAAUUGUGAUGCUAAAUCAUAAGAAUGAAAUUGCCAGUGAGGAGGAAAUAUCCUGAAAUCGGAGCAAAAAGCAAUUAACAAGUAAAGUUAAAUUAAACCUACAUGACUAACUGUGCAGAUAAAAUGCCUGUAAAUGCUCAUUAUCAUUAUCUACUCUGUUAAUCAAGAAAUAAGCCUAAAAAUGGAUCUAUGGACUAUGUUUCUAAUCCUAAGGUGAGAAUAUUGUAAGCCUUGACUUGUGACUUUUUCUAUUUGUCAAAAACCAAUGCUUCACAUGAAAAAUCAAAGAGAAUAGAAACUAAAUCAUGCUUACCAUAUGAAAUUUGCGAUAUGCAGA
rnacentral:misc_RNA from 1 species